UGCCUGUGUUAAUGAAGAGUGGGACCGAAGUCAGGAGCAGGAUGGAGAAGCUUAGAUUCAAAGAUCAGGUUGUUAAAAUGCUUUGUAAUUUGUGUCUUGCACCACGGAGUACAGACUUGGACACUGACUGCCGUUACUGAGGAGAGGAUGGAAGCCUUCGAAAUGCGUUGAAGGAUGCUGAGAGUAUCUUGGAUGUGUGGCCAAUGAGGAAAUCGUGCACCGCAUUGGGAAGACACAUGAGGUCUUUACACCAUGAAAGGGCCUUUUCAUGCCAUGUGAAUAAGAGCAUAAUAAUGAAUAUCUGUUUGAAGCGGAAUACACGAAAAUCGCUUUGAUGUUUUGCGUUAUUGCACGCAGCAGAAAGCUACUUGGUACUAAACCGAAGGAAUAAUGAUUCGUUGGAAGAAAUUUUAACUUUUCUUGGAGAACUCAAUAUUGUUGCACAAAAUAAGAAUACAAAAACCUUUUUGGAUAUACAGGAUACAGUUGUGGAGAAGCAUAACUACCUUGCUAGGAAAGUUACAAAUCGCAAAUAAGACAGGUGUAAGGCCAAUCAUAACGUACACCGCAGAUACAACAUCAGACAAAGAAUGUAAUUCAUGUAAAGAACCAAAAUAGUAGUUUUCAAUGCAAGGGCGAAAAGUCGUCGUUUUUCGAACGAAGACGGCGUUUGACACCCGAGACGAAGUCGAGAUUCAUUCGAGUAAAAAAGUAAUUAUAAUAUCUACUGGCCGCCCGUGGAAUGGAAUGCCCGCCGAAUUCAGGACAUGCAUAUAGCACUUGCGAGCAAACAAAAUCCAAAGUGCAGCGUUAGCUACAGCGUACGGCUACAAGAACAUCCUAGUAAAAUUGCCAACAUUUAGUGACUGGACCCAACCCAAGACGAUCGAAGCGUUUUACCGCAUGCAAACAGCGACUUGCCGACAAAAAAAUGAAAACAUACAUAAAAAUUGUAUU